GCUUCGCUCUCUGCUCCUCCUGUUCGACAGUCAGCUGCAUCUUCUUUUGCAUUGCCAGCCGAGCCACAUCGCUGAGACACCAUGGGGAAGGUGAAGGUCGGAGUCAACGGGUGAGUUCGCGGGUGGCUGGGGGGCCCUGGGCUGCGACCGCCCCCGAACUGCGUCUACGAGCCUUGCGGGCUCCGGGUCUUUGCAGUCGUAUGGGGGCAGGGUAGCUGUUCCCCGCAAGGAGAGCUCAAGGUCAGCGCUCGGACCUGGCGGAGCCCCGCACCCAGGCUGUGGCGCCCAGUGCAGCUCCGCCCUUGCGGCGCCAUCUGCCCGGAGCCUCCUUCCCCUAGUCCCCAGAAACAGGAGGUCCCUACUCCCGCCCAAGAUCCCGACCCGGACCCC
rnacentral:sRNA from 1 species